GACGAACGCUGGCGGCGUGCUUAACACAUGCAAGUGGAGCGACGAACCGGGCUUCGGCCCGGGGCAAAGCCGCGAACGGGUGAGUAUCACGUGGGUAACCUGCCCCGAUGACCGGGACAACCCGAGGAAACUCGGGCUAAUACCGGAUGUGCCCUCCGCACAUCAGUGCAGAGCACAAAGGACGCUUCGGCCUCCGAAUUGGGAUGGGCUCGCGGCCCAUUAGCUUGUUGGUGAGGUAAUGGCUCACCAAGGCAACGAGGGGUAGCUGGUAUGAGAAGACGAUCAGCCACAGUGAGACUGAGACACGGCCCAGACUCCGACGGGAGGGCGCAGUGGGGAAUCUUGCGCAAUGCGCGAAAGCGUGACGCAGCAACGCCGCGUGAGGGAAGAAGGCCUUCGGGUUGUAAACCUCUUUCAGGAGGGACGAAGGUUCAGGCGCGAAUAGCGUCCUGGACUGACGGUACCUCCAGAAGAAGCCCCGGCUAACUACGUGCCAGCCGCCGCUGUAACAC
rnacentral:rRNA from 1 species